GAUGAACGCUGGCGGCGUGCCUAAUACAUGCAAGUCGAGCGAACGGACGAGAAGCUUGCUCUUCUGAUGUUAGCGGCGGACGGGUGAGUAACACGUGGAUAACCUACCUAUAAGACUGGGAUAACUUCGCGAAACCGGAGCUAAUACCGGAUAAUAUUUUGAACCGCAUGGUUCAAAAGUGAAAGUCGGUCUUGCUGUCACUUAUAGAUGGAUCCGCGCUGCAUUAGCUAGUUGGUAAGGUAACGGCUUACCAAGGCGACGAUGCAUAGCCGACCUGAGAGGAUGGGCAGAGACACUGAGAGUGGGACGCGGCCGGGACUCCUACGGGAGGCAGCAGUGGGGAAUAUUGCACAAUGGGGGAAAGCCUGAACGAGCAAGGACGGGAGAGUGAUGAAGGUAGUAGGGUAGUAAAGCUCUUUUACCCGGGAUGAUAAUGACGGUACCGGGAGAAUAAGCUCCGGCUAACUACGUG
rnacentral:rRNA from 1 species